CGCGGGGUGGAGCAGUCUGGUAGCUCGUCGGGCUCAUAACCCGGAGGUCGGUGGUUCAAAUCCACCCCCCGCUACCA
rnacentral:tRNA from 2 species